GGGAUCUGUUACUGUCCUGUGUCACGCAAAAAGGAAUUGGAGGAGUUGAAAGUGGCAGAUUCCAAGACACUCAAUGAAUCUGAGAGGGAACGUCUGUUUGAAAAGUUAAAUGCUGCAACAGACUUCAUUCAAAGAGCAAAGUACAAUUUAAAUGCCUUAUCGCAUGACGCUGCUAUCGGUCUAAUUCAGCAUGCUCUAGAUACAAGUGUUCAGCUGAAAGAGGUGUUUGUAGAUACAGUGGGCCCUGCAGAGAACUACC